CCGACAGGCGUAGUCGAUGGACAACGGGUUGAUAUUCCCGUACCGGCGAAGAACCGCCCAAGCUAAUCCAGUAGUGCUAAGUGUCUGAAUCCCAGUGACUGAUCCCUUCGGGGUGACGCUCUGGGCCUAGCGCACGACCCCAUUCUGGUGCGGUUAGCGUAUUAACAGGUGUGACGCAGGAAGGUAGCCCAAGCCAGGCGAUGGUUGUCCUGGUGCAAGUGCGUAGGCCGAGUCGUAGGCAAAUCCGCGAUUCACAUAGGCUGAGACACGAUGCGGAUAAAAAGUGGGUGAUCCUAUGCUGCCAAGAAAAGCAUCGACGCGAGGUUCUAGCCGCCCGUACCCCAAACCGACUCUGG
rnacentral:rRNA from 1 species